UACGAAGGGGGCUAGCGUUGUUCGGAAUUACUGGGCGUAAAGCGCACGUAGGCGGGCGAUUAAGUCAGGGGUGAAAUCCCGGAGCUCAACUCCGGAACUGCCUUUGAUACUGGUCGUCUAGAGAUCGGAAGAGGUGAGUGGAAUUCCCAGUGUAGAGGUGAAAUUCGUAGAUAUUGGGAAGAACACCAGUGGCGAAGGCGGCUCACUGGUCCGAUACUGACGCUGAGGUGCGAAAGCUAGGGGAGCAAACGGG
rnacentral:rRNA from 1 species